ACACACACACACACACACACACACACACACACACACACACACACACACACACACACACACACACACACACACACACACACUGGUUCACACACACACACACACACACACACACACACACACACACACACACACACAAACACACACACACAAAACACACACACACACACACACACACACACACACACACACACACACACACACACACACACACACACACACACACACACACACACACACACACACACACACACACACACACACACACACACACACACACACACACACACACACACACACUCCUAGACAGCUCAGCAGUGCCAGAUGCCUGCGGUAGGGUUGUGUUUCUCUGGGGAUAGAUUCCCCCCAUGAACUUUCCAGUCAAAAGCCAAGUGAUUCUUUUGGAAGGGGGCCUGGGGAUUUAAGACGAUGCCCCCCCCCCCCGCCCCUCAGAUCCCUUAGAAAAGGUAGAAGCUCUCUUGUUAUAAUCAGAGAGAGAGAAUGGGGGGAGAGAGAGAGAACGGGAGAGAUAGAGAUAGAACUGGGCUGGUCCUUUACUUUAAUCAACUGGGUUUAAUUAACUAUAAGAGGGUUGAUUGGGUCCGUAGGAUUCAGAGUCCAGGCCUUCUCUCUUUGAUAGCAGCCCAUUAGCUGAGUGUGGUGACCCCCGCUAGCUUGCAUAAUGGAUUGACCCGACCUGACAGAGUGAGGUGGCCCAGGGGACACACACACAGUAUUGGGACUGCAGCCAAGUUGCAGCAGACCUAAAUCAGUACUUUGUAGUGUUGUGAUCUGAACAUGCAGUACACUGUAGUAUUGUGUUUGUAACCAAGGGGCUAUUACUGAAUGAUAAAGUCAUACUAGAAUAGUAAUCUGACACUGGGGGUGACUGUGGUGGUAGUAACCUGACACUGGGGGUGACUGUGGUGGUAGUAACCUGACACUGGGGGUGACUGUGGUGGUAGUAAUCUGUCACUGGGGGUGACUGUGGUGGUAGUAACCUGACACUGGGGGUGACUGUGGUGGUAGUAACCUGACACUGGGGGUGACUGUGGUGGUAGUAACCUGACACUGGGGGUGACUGUGGUGGUAGUAACCUGACACUGGGGGUGACUGUGGUGGUAGUAACCUGACACUGGGGGUGACUGUGGUGGUAGUAACCUGACACUGGGGGUGACUGUGGUGGUAGUAACCUGACACUGGGGGUGACUGUGGUGGUAGUAAUCUGUCACUGGGGGUGACUGUGGUGGUAGUAACCUGACACUGGGGGUGACUGUGGUGGUAGUAAUCUGUCACUGGGGGUGACUGUGGUGGUAGUAACCUGACACUGGGGGUGACUGUGGUGGUAGUAACCUGACACUGGGGGUGACUGUGGUGGUAGUAACCUGACACUGGGGGUGACUGUGGUGGUAGUAAUCUGUCACUGGGGGUGACUGUGGUGGUAGUAACCUGACACUGGGGGUGACUGUGGUGGUAGUAAUCUGACACUGGGGGUGACUGUGGUGGUCGUAACCUGACACUGGGGGUGACUGUGGUGGAAGUAAUCUGUCACUGGGGGUGACUGUGGUGGUAGUAACCUGACACUGGGGGUGACUGUGGUGGUAGUAAUCUGUCACUGGGGGUGACUGUGGUGGUAGUAACCUGAAACUGGGGGUGACUGUGGUGGUAGUAACCUGACACUGGGGGUGACUGUGGUGGUAGUAACCUGACACUGGGGGUGACUGUGGUGGUAGUAACCUGACACUGGGGGUGACUGUGGUGGUAGUAACCUGACACUGGGGGUGACUGUGGUGGUAGUAACCUGACACUGGGGGUGACUGUGGUGGUAGUAACCUGACACUGGGGGUGACUGUGGUGGUCGUAACCUGACACUGGGGGUGACUGUGGUGGUAGUAAUCUGUCACUGGGGGUGACUGUGGUGGUAGUAACCUGACACUGGGGGUGACUGUGGUGGUAGUAAUCUGUCACUGGGGGUGACUGUGGUGGUAGUAACCUGCCACUGGGGGUGACUGUGGUGGUAGUAACCUGACACUGGGGGUGACUGUGGUGGUAGUAACCUGACACUGGGGGUGACUGUGGUGGUAGUAACCUGACACUGGGGGUGACUGUGGUGGUAGUAACCUGUCACCAGGGGUGACUGUGGUGAUAGUAACCUGUCACUGGGGGUGACUGUGGUGAUAGUAACCUGACACUGGGGCUGUCAUUCAUAUUCCAUUCACCCAGUUCAAUGUAACAGCGAUAGGUUUAGGAUACUGUCAUUCAUAUUCCAUUCACCCAGUUCAAUGUAACAGCGAUAGGUUUAGGAUACUGUCAUUCAUAUUCCAUUCACCCAGUUCAAUGUAACAGCGAUAGGUUUAGGAUACUGUCAUUCAUAUUCCAUUCACCCAGUUCAAUGUAACAGCGAUAGGUUUAGGAUACUGUCAUUCAUAUUCCAUUCACCCAGUUCAAUGUAACAGCGAUAGGUUUAGGAUACUGUCAUUCAUAUUCCAUUCACCCAGUUCAAUGUAACAGCGAUAGGUUUAGGAUACUGUCAUUCAUAUUCCAUUCACCCAGUUCAAUGUAACAGCGAUAGGUUUAGGAUACUGUCAUUCAUAUUCCAUUCACCCAGUUCAAUGUAACAGUGAUAGGUUUAGGAUACUGUCAUUCAUAUUCCAUUCACCCAGUUCAAUGUAACAGCGAUAGGUUUAGGAUACUGUCAUUCAUAUUCCAUUCACCCAGUUCAAUGUAACAGCGAUAGGUUUAGGAUACUGUCAUUCAUAUUCCAUUCACCCAGUUCAAUGU